rnacentral:rRNA from 1 species
UACGUAGGAGGCGAGCGUUGUCCGGAAUUACUGGGCGUAAAGCGCGUGUAGGCGGUCUGAAUAGUCUGCUGUGAAAGCGCCUGGCUUAACCGGGCGAGGUCGGCGGAAACUCUCAGACUGGAGGCCGGUAGAGGGGGGUGGAAUUCCCGGUGUAGUGGUGAAAUGCGUAGAGAUCGGGAGGAACACCUGUGGCGAAGGCGGCCCCCUGGGCCGCGCCUGACGCUGUGGCGCGAAAGCUAGGGGAGCAAACGGG